UCCUUUUUCCAAUCAGUGAAACUAAUCCCCCCGUGAAGAAGCGGGGAUAAGCCUAUAAGACGAGAAGACCCCAUGGAGCUUUAAACCUAGCUACACCCCCGACUACUACACCAUCUAAGAAAUCGGAGACCUGUUACGCUCAGUUUUAGGUUGGGGUGACCACGGAGUAUAAUAAAACCUCCAUGAUGAAUGAAACUAUUCUCUUAUCUGAGAACUACACUUCCAAGAAUUAGCACACUAACAUUAAAUGAUCCGCUAAACGAUCAACGAACCAAGUUACCCUGGGGAUAACAGCGCAAUCCACUUCAAGAGCCCCUAUCGACAAGUGGGUUUAC
rnacentral:rRNA from 1 species